AGGGCUAUAUGACGCGUGUUCGAAUUACCCUCCGCCAUCUUUCCACCAGCCGGAAUCAGUGAUACAACUCAACGUGACUCUUCGCUCUCCAUCCUUGUCUACCAUACACGCCAUAUUGCCGCGUCUACUGCUGUCGCAGUGCACCGUGGGAAAUACGCUAUCAGGGAAGCUACCAAAAUGGCGGCCCACUAACUUCUGCGCCUAGAUAGAGAUUUAUACUGAAUCUUUAUUU